rnacentral:rRNA from 1 species
GGCGAACGGGUGAGUAACACGUGAGUAACCUGCCCUUAACUCUGGGAUAAGCCUGGGAAACUGGGUCUAAUACCGGAUAUGACUCCUCAUCGCAUGGUGGGGGGUGGAAAGCUUUUUGUGGUUUUGGAUGGACUCGCGGCCUAUCAGCUUGUUGGUGAGGUAAUGGCUCACCAAGGCGACGACGGGUAGCCGGCCUGAGAGGGUGACCGGCCACACUGGGACUGAGACACGGCCCAGACUCCUACGGGAGGCAGCAGUGGGGAAUAUUGCACAAUGGGCGCAAGCCUGAUGCAGCGACGCCCCGUGAGGGAUGACGGCCUUCGGGUUGUAAACCUCUUUCAGUAGGGAAGAAGCGAAAGUGACGGUACCUGCAGAAGAAGCGCCGGCUAACUACGUGCCAGCAGCCGCGGUAAUACGUAGGGCGCAAGCGUUAUCCGGAAUUAUUGGGCGUAAAGAGCUCGUAGGCGGUUUGUCGCGUCUGCCGUGAAAGUCCGGGGCUCAACUCCGGAUCUGCGGUGGGUACGGGCAGACUAGAGUGAUGUAGGGGAGACUGGAAUUCCUGGUGUAGCGGUGAAAUGCGCAGAUAUCAGGAGGAACACCGAUGGCGAAAGCAGGUCUCUGGGCAUUAACUGACGCUGAAGAGCGAAAGCAUGGGGAGCGAACAGGAUUAGAUACCCUGGUAGUCCAUGCCGUAAACGUUGGGCACUAGGUGUGGGGGGACAUUCCACGUUUUCCGCGCC